UCGAGUAACUUCGUUGUGCGUAUUUGGUGAUUUUAUCAUCAGUUUAGAAUCGAAUGAGUUCAAUGAGAAUCGAAUAAAAUUAACAUAAAAAUCAGAAAACGUACCGAUGUACGGUUAGUAAAAUAAAUACAAUAAAUAAGUUAUUGGCUAGAAAACGUGACGGAAAUACUGUGAAACGAAAAGAAGCUGCAAUCAAAACGCGGUCGCGAAUUUAAAUACAAUAUUUUGUGCUACAAUAAUAAACAUAAAGCUGGCAAAAAAGAAAAAUCGACAGUAUAUAAGAAAUUGUAAACAGAAACGUUUGGAUAAAAGGGCAAACAAUAAGGACAAAGACAAUAACAACAAUGAACACAUUCGUACGUCAUCAGCCGAAAAUCCUGCGUAACGGGCAGACCUGGAUGACAUUCAGCAAAGAUGGAAAUAGAAAGUACUCCACACCACAAUAUUUACCCCGCUAUGCGCUGCGACGACUCAAUGGCAGUUCGGCAAGUUCAAGUUUAUGGACGGGCGGCAGUUGUACAGGUGCACAAGUUGGAAUGCAGUCAAUGUUGCUUUCCCGUUGGAAUGAUAUCAGUGAAUCCAGCUAUCACNCUGAGAACAGCGGAUUGUAUUACACAACCAGAAAAUUCCAUUUAUCACGUCGUUUAGGUGAAAAUGCUUCGUCAAAAGUUGAAGUGACAGUCAAAACGAUGAAGGAAAAACAAAAAGAAAAGGUCGAAGAGAUCAUAAAGGAAGCCAGCGCUCCGGCAGUUACUAAAGCGGUCGGUGAACCAGUAGAAACUGGAAAAGCAGUUGUCGCUGAGCCACCAAAAGCUGUUAUCGCUAAAAAACCGCUGGGCACACGUAUCUGGGAAGAGUUGGUGCAUUAUUAUCAUGGAUUCCGGUUGCUUUUUAUCGAUAUAAACAUUUCACGUAAACUACUAUGGCGUAUACUUAAUGGAAAGACGCUUACGCGUCGUGAGAAUAAACUACUUUUGCGCACCACCUCUGAUCUGUUCCGACUGAUACCCUUUUCGGUGUUCCUAAUCGUGCCGUUCAUGGAAUUGCUCUUGCCAUUCUUUAUACGUUUCUUUCCGGGCAUGUUACCGUCCACGUUUCAGACCGCCAAGGAUCGCGAAGACAAACUGAAACAAUCACUGCAAGUACGUCUCGAGAUGGCGAAAUUCUUACAAAAAACACUGGACGAAAUGGCUGUGCAGCAUAAGGAUCACAAAAGUGAGGAUGCCAAACAAUUUGCUGAAUUCUUCGAAAAGAUAAAGGAUCCCAAAGAGCACGUAACAAUUGAAGAGAUCAUCAAGUUCGCUAAACGCUUCGAGGAUGAAGUCACAUUGGACUCUUUGUCGCGCGAACAAUUGGCCGCUUUGUGUCGCGUGCUCGAGCUUAACACCAUGGGCACCAGCAACUUGCUACGCUUUCAAUUGCGCGUUAAAUUGCGUUCGCUUGCCGCCGAUGAUCGCGUAAUUGCGCGCGAAGGUGUCGACGCAUUGGAUCUAUUUGAAUUACAACAGGCUUGCAAGGCACGCGGUAUGCGUGCCUAUGGGCUGACAUCGGAAAAGUUNCGCUCACAGUUGCAGGAAUGGAUUGACCUGUCGCUAAAUGAAAAGGUACCACCGACGCUACUCUUACUGUCACGUGCACUACUGAUUUCCGAAGAAGCCGCAACGACGCAUAAACUGGUCGAGACACUUCGUGUACUACCCGAAGCAGUGGCGACAAAGACGAAGGAAAAGAUUGGCGAAAGCGAAGGUAAAAUCGAUAACAAAACCAAGAUUGAGGUGCUUAAAGAAGAAGAGCGUAAAAUUAAAGAAGAGCGUGAGGAAGAACGCGAGGCUGAAAAGGCCAAAUUGGAGGAGGAAAAAGCAAAGGAAAGCGAAGAAUUGCUCAGCAAAGUACCAUAUUUACAUUCUAGCACUUCGUCUAUCACCGAGGAGCGUAAAAAAGCAGAAGCCAGCAAUAAUAUAUCCUCAAAAGACGUGGAAUUACUGUCCGAUGCACUAAAAUCAUUGUCGACCGAUAAGAAGAUGAUGGUUGAGAAAGAGACACUGAAAGAUCUCAAAGAGGAACUUGAAGAUUACAAGGAAGAUGUGGAAGAACUGCGUGAAGUGCGCAAUGUAGUGAAGGAACCAGUGCACGAGAGUCGCGCAGCGAAAUUGCUCUUCAAGAAGGUGAAUAGCAUGAUAGGACACUUGGAUAAGGUGUUAGUGGAUUUGGAGAAGAAGCGCGAAAGUAAGCAAAAGAAAAUUAAAGCAAGCACGGAAGAAGUUUUGGCUGGACCCUUACAAAGUCAGGAACUUACACUAGACGAGGAUACUGUGCACAUCGAAGAGCUGAUGAAUACUAUAAAGAAGUUGCAAAAGACAUCCGAUGAAACGCGUUUGAAGCAAAUCGAAAAAGUGCUUAGCAAAAUCGAUGCCGACAAAGAUGGCUUGAUCACCGUGGAUGAAGUGCUGAAUGUCGUUGAAGCGAUCAGUCGCGAAAACGUGAACUUGUCAGACAAACAAAUCGAGGAAUUGGUGACAUUGCUCGAUAAGGAGAACAUCAUAGAGGCGGAGGAACGCUUGGAGAAGGCCAUUGCGAAGAGCAUUAAAUUGGCAGAGAAACAAAUUAAAGAUCAACAAAAACUGGUUGAAGAACAGAAGACCGCAGAUGUGCUGAAGGACACUGCACCAGAGCUGAAGGAUAAUGCCAAGGACUUGAGUGCAGAUUGUCAAACGAAGGUUUUAAAAACGGAGGUAAACAACGAGAAGAGUCCACUCUUGGAGGCUGCAGAAAAGCAAAAAGAGAAGAUACUCCCGAAAAAUGAUAUAUCCGCGCAAAUACCACAACAGCCGCUACCCGCACCACCACCGCCAACAACAGCGACCCAAGUGAAUCCAAAAGAUAAAAUGCUAUGAUUUGAGGAUGAUGGUGCUAAACCCAAAAAACAAACCCCAGAUAACAGUCGUUGAAGCAAGUAAAAUUGUGUUGAAAACAAGGCAAAACACUAAUAAAAAAAAAACAUUUGACGACCUGGUUGUUUUAGGGACAUAAAAUGUAGAGUGCAAGCGUGAGUGUGUGCUGUGUGAUAAUGAAAAAUGUGAGCUAGAUGAUUGUUGGCGGAAACCCGAAAGGUGUAAAUGCUUCAUGAUAUCAUUGAUUGCUGCCUCAAAUCGGUAUUAUAUAUAGCUUUGCAAAAUGUAUGCUCACGGUUUCCAGUAGUAACAAUAAAAGAACUUAAAAUUUCAAAAUGGGUUCCUAAGCAUUAACUGAAAACACUAAAUAUGUAUAAUAUAUGCAAUUGCUUUAGUUGUGCUAUAGCUACUAAACAUACCAAUUUAUGUACAUAUGUGUAUGUAUGUAUGUAUAUAUGUCUAACCGCGAUACUUCGAUGCACAUGAAUUUAUGCUUUAAUUUUAAUUAUUUGUAAAUUACAAACUUGUAUAUUAUGAAAUUCUAAUGAUAUAAUUGAGUACAAUAAAAACGACAUAUAAAAACACGAA
rnacentral:misc_RNA from 1 species